GAUGAACGCUGGCGGCGUGCCUAAUACAUGCAAGUCGAGCGAACGGACGAGAAGCUUGCUUCUCUGAUGUUAGCGGCGGACGGGUGAGUAACACGUGGAUAACCUACCUAUAAGACUGGGAUAACUUCGGGAAACCGGAGCUAAUACCGGAUAAUAUUUUGAACCGCAUGGUUCAAAAGUGAAAGACGGUCUUGCUGUCACUUAUGGAUGGAUCCGCGCUGCAUUAGCUAGUUGGUAAGGUAACGGCUUACCAAGGCAACGAUGCAUAGCCGACCUGAGAGGGUGAUCGGCCACACUGGAACUGAGACACGGUCCAGACUCCUACGGGAGGCAGCAGUAGGGAAUCUUCCGCAAUGGGCGAAAGCCUGACGGAGCAACGCCGCGUGAGUGAUGAAGGUCUUCGGAUCGUAAAACUCUGUUAUUAGGGAAGAACAUAUGUGUAAGUAACUGUGCACAUCUUGACGGUACCUAAUCAGAAAGCCACGGCUAACUACGUG
rnacentral:rRNA from 1 species